AGGUGGACCUGCGACUGGCGUGGCCGGAUGUGACCGGCGAGGAGCAACAGAGCGACAUCGACCGCCUGGGUGUCCGUG
rnacentral:ncRNA from 18 species